AGUGAACGCUGGCGGUAGGCCUAACACAUGCAAGUCGAACGGCAGCACAGUAAGAGCUUGCUCUUACGGGUGGCGAGUGGCGGACGGGUGAGGAAUACAUCGGAAUCUACUUUUUCGUGGGGGAUAACGUAGGGAAACUUACGCUAAUACCGCAUACGACCUACGGGUGAAAGCAGGGGAUCUUCGGACCUUGCGCGAUUGAAUGAGCCGAUGUCGGAUUAGCUAGUUGGCGGGGUAAAGGCCCACCAAGGCGACAACCCGUAGCUGGUCUGAGAGGAUGAUCAGCCACACUGGAACUGAGACACGGUCCAGACUCCUACGGGAGGCAGCAGUGGGGAAUAUUGGACAAUGGGCGCAAGCCUGAUCCAGCCAUACCGCGUGGGUGAAGAAGGCCUUCGGGUUGUAAAGCCCUUUUGUUGGGAAAGAAAAGCAGCAGGUUAAUACCCCGCUGUUCUGACGGUACCCAAAGAAUAAGCACCGGCUAACUUCGUG
rnacentral:rRNA from 1 species